rnacentral:lncRNA from 12 species
AUGAGGACUCAGAGGUGCAGGACAGUGAGCAGAGCCAGCUGUACCCACUUGGUUCCAGAGACACAGAGGAUUCAAGAUCGGAAGAGCGCAGAGGAUUCAGCUGAGCCCUGGACAAGUGAUUAUGAGGAGGAAGCAAUAGAUAACGAUAGUUCUAUUAACUCUAGUGAAUGGCCAGACCGUUUUGAGAGUCCUCCGACGUGGCAGGACGACGUUACAGACGACUGGGAAGAAAGCCAGCAAUGGCCACGUGCUUCCAGAUCAACAGAGAAUUCCCUUGAACUGGCCAGCAACCUUCUAGAGGAACCAAGAGAUAUUGAAUUUGAAUGGCCAGGAGGUUUUGUUAGUCCUCCCAACUGGGAGGAUGAAAACGCACAGGUGAGGGUCCACAUGUUGUUGUAAUUUCUGAUUUGUGGGAAGUGAAGGGACAGAAGGGGAGCUGCACACAACUCAAUUGUUUUAAGUGGGUGCCACAGGAAGCUGGCUUGGACAGAAGGGGAGCUGCACACAACUCAGUUGUUUUAAGUGGGUGCCACGGGAAGCUGGCUGGAAGCACAGCCCCUGCUGGGAGACUCCAACCUGCACAUCCCUCCAAGGCCUCUCUUGGUGGUAUCCAUAGAAUGAGAAGCCGUUGCCAGGAUGGCACUGGCAGAUCUGUGUGUUCCUUGUAGUUUUAGCAUUGACUGAUAGAAUUCUUUACUCCCACUUCCUGUUGUGGAUUCCUUUCUUCAAUAGCUCUUCAUCUAAUGUGAAGUGUUAAGGGUAUCAUAGCAGAAUUUGCCAGUUUGGGGAAGAAUGAGGGAAAGAAACAACUCCAGGUCAAUCUUAAUAAGGAAACGGUAAUGGGGAGGAGGGAGUAGGGUGUUUCCUCAGCUGUCUCUGUUUGUACCCUAUUAAAUUCCAUUUUGUUGCAGUAGUAGGAGCUGAAUAUGCAGCACCCAUUUAUUUGUUUUCAGGGCAGCAGUUCCCUGUGCUACUGCUUUGACUGUUCUUAACCAACCGUAUAGGGUGAUACCCUACCCUUUCUCACCUGCUCUGCUUUAACUGCUCUCUGAGCUGAGGUUUGCAUAUGGCAUCAGGGGGGCUCACCAAAUCUAACUGUGUUUUCUUUUUCUCGGUCCUCACGUGCAUCG